rnacentral:misc_RNA from 1 species
UUUUUCGAGUUUCUAAUAUAGUUAACUCGGUUACUCAUUUAAGGGUAUAUAGCAUUUUAUUUAUUAUCUCUUGGACAUGCAGAAAAUCUUCAUUAGUUUCUUGCAACACGUGAGUAGCCUUAUACAUGAAUUAUCUUUCGUACCUUUAAUUAUAAUGCUCAUUGCUUAUCAAACAUGUAAUGAUCAAUUAUAUAUUAUAAAAGAA